UACGUAGGGUGCGAGCGUUAAUCGGAAUUACUGGGCGUAAAAGCGUGCGCAGGCGGUUUUGUAAGUCUGUCGUGAAAGCCCCGGGCUUAACCUGGGAAUUGCGAUGGAGACUGCAAGGCUUGAAUCUGGCAGAGGGGGGUAGAAUUCCACGUGUAGCAGUGAAAUGCGUAGAGAUGUGGAGGAACACCGAUGGCGAAGGCAGCCCCCUGGGUCAAGAUUGACGCUCAUGCACGAAAGCGUGGGGAGCAAACAGG
rnacentral:rRNA from 1 species